AUGCGCGGCGUUUGCCGCUCCUGGAGAUCCGCAGUUCCUGCUCCUACCCGAGCGCCGUUGCUGAUUCUGUCUUCUGUGAGAUCUGACCAGCCAACGGUCUUCUUGGCUGUGGUGGCAGGUUCAUUGCAGCUUCAGCAGAACCCUUUGUUCUUUCCACCAAGAGGUUCCCGAUGCUGGGGAAGCUGCAAUGGACUGCUCAGCCUUCGUGUAGCAGCAAGAACUGGAUUGACCCUCUGCCCCAACUGUGGACUGAGUUAUUCUUUGCCGGAGGUAGACGAGAACAUUGAUCUGAACAACUUCUGUGAGACCCGUCAGUUGGUCUGUACUUUUCCCGCAAAUCAUCCAGCAACAACAUGGUGGACGAAACUAGGUGAUGAACAGCAUUGGACAGGAUUUAACCAUGGAUUUGGAGUAUCUCCCAAAUCAAUAUAUUGGGACAAUGAGGAGAAUGCGGCAUGCAUUGCUUCUGCACCCUCUAGUUUGAUUGUGGACACCGUCUUUGAGCAGCGUGUACUACCUACAUCGGAUGAACUGCAGCAAGAACUUGAUGACCUGGGCAUUGAGCUUGAGUAUCCGGCGGCGCACGUCAUUCACAUUAUCCUUGAAGAAGACCCUUUGCUGGAGUUAUGGAACAAAAGAGGACAUCAUGUGUUCCGUGUUGAAGAGGAUAUAUAUAUGUGCAUCUUAUUGAGGAACACAGAAAACAAUAGCAUACAUGCUCGUCUGUAUGUCCUCAAUGUGGAUGAAGAAGCCUCCAUGAUACCAGCUGGUGACAUCGGAAAUAACGCGCUAUUCCUAGGAGCAAAUCAGGCGUUCGUUACAGCUGCCAAUCAGAAUUUGCUUCCCAAUACUGCUUAUGUGGUUGACGAUGACGGUGCAGUUCGAGCCCCCCAGGUAGUAAGAAUCAACUUUGCCACUGGGCAACAUACGGUCAUGGAGUACCCAGCAAACAUUGGACCAGUAAACUCAUACAUGUCGCCCAGUUGGAUCGAGCCACUGCCAGCUGGUCAUUGCAACUAG
rnacentral:rRNA from 1 species